rnacentral:rRNA from 1 species
GACGAACGCUGGCGGCGUGCUUAACACAUGCAAGUCGAACGGAAAGGCCCUGCUUUUGUGGGGUGCUCGAGUGGCGAACGGGUGAGUAACACGUGAGUAACCUGCCCCUGACAUUGGGAUAACUUCAGGAAACUGGGGCUAAUACCGGGUAGGAGCUCCUGCUGCAUGGUGGGGGAUGGAAAGUUUCGGCGGUUGGGGAUGGACUCGCGGCUUAUCAGCUUGUUGGUGGGGUAGUGGCUUACCAAGGCUUUGACGGGUAGCCGGCCUGAGAGGGUGACCGGCCACAUUGGGACUGAGAUACGGCCCAGACUCCUACGGGAGGCAGCAGUGGGGAAUAUUGCACAAUGGGCGGAAGCCUGAUGCAGCAACGCCGCGUGCGGGAUGACGGCCUUCGGGUUGUAAACCGCUUUCGCCUGUGACGAAGCGUGAGUGACGGUAAUGGGUAAAGAAGCACCGGCUAACUACGUG